CUAGAGGAAACACUCACCCAAGUGCUGCCUGUUGUUGUUGUCCCUGGUAGCAGGAACCAGGCUUCACCCUUCAUUGCGUUUAAAGAGACCACGUAGAAAAGUGAUUAUGGCCAGCGACUCUGAAGCCAAACUGCCUGGGUUCAAAUCUCAGCUUUGCCAUUGACUUACUAGCUCUGUAACCUUGGACAAUCUACUUAGUUUCUCUGUGCUCCAGUUUCCCCAUGUGUAAAAUCUUUCACUAAAGUGAAGGAGGGCUAAUGAAGAUAAAAAAGUUGUUCCCCUCAUGAUGGCCAGGCAGGAGGAGGAAGAAUCUGAGCACUCCAGGGUCUCAACAAGGAUGAGUAACGGCGAAUAAAUGUGAUUGCAUACUCUUUCCAUCAAAUAAAAACAUAUAAGAUAAAACAAACCCCAAAAGCCAAGUACUGUUUGAAGUAU
rnacentral:lncRNA from 10 species